UUUGGCUCGGGUAAAUCGGCAGACAACUCAAAAGGGUCACAGUGCAUCUUUAAUAAAACUUCUCAUGCAAGACAAGCGAUAAAGAAGAGCCACAGAACCUCAGUUUCGGUAACGACUGCCGGUGGCCAGGGAGGCAGACUUCCCCCAGAGUCUCUCGCCUCCUGAGCAGCGCUGGGACUGCCCCUAGCUGCCCCUCCGUAGUGUGGGGCAGGAAAAAGCAGACACUUACCGCAAAAGACACCGCUAACGCCGUGGCCCUAAGGGGCCGGGAAUUCCUUAGCGAGGCCCCACGCCGUGGAAAGAAACCCAAAAAAGCUGGGAGCAGACAGACAGGUAUGACCCCACAACCCAACUUCCCGAACUAAAAGUAGGGUCCCAACGCCCAGCACCGCGUUGCCAACUCCCACCAGCUGGAAAACCGACGAGUGCCACCGAACCUUCCGCCCAAUGAGGAAACGUCAGCACUCCGCGUAGUCCAGCCUUUCUAGAGGAGGAUGCGCUUCCGCUUCCGGGGCACACCGCCGCGUUUUUUCUGCGCGGCUCCUGUAACAGUUUAGAUGUUUAUUUGCAUCGACUGGCUUUUGGUUUCAGUUUUCUACCGCUGAAUAACUGCAGUAGUAAAGUUAGUGGUAAAAAUAGGAGGCUGUCUAGGGAUGUAAUUUCAGGGGAGAAGUCAGGCUUCGACGAUCCACCUUAAGAAAAGUGAUUAGGCGGAGCACUCCCAGCUAAGCGCGUAAAGAUGAGAGAUGGAGGUGUGACUGCAGGCAGGGAUUCCCGGGCGCACGAGAGACCUCCGUAGAGGGGUGGAACUUAGGGCUUCGCAGACUAGAGGCGGGUUCCGCGGAGGGUGGGGCGGUCUCUCCCUGCGCAUGCACAAUGCCAACCAGUGCCUGCGAGUCUUGCUCGUACAACGUAAAAUUUCCCACCGCGAAGCAGGUAGUGAUGCUGCGGCGGCUUCGCACUGUGGUUGCUGCCGACCGCCAGGCGCUGCUACAGUGGAUGCGAACUACCUAUGCAGCAGCAGCCGGAACCCACAGUUCACCUUGGUGCAUUCCUUUAUGAUGAAGACUUAUUGAUUCAUUAUAUGAGAAAGGAAAAAUGAGCAGAAACUACUGUAUGAUGUGCAGCUCACACCAGACAGCACCUUUAGGUAGGCCCUUAGGUGUGCAAAUCUGAUGACUUUAUGUGUAUUUUUUCUUACAAGUCAUGAGUAUGCAGUUUGGACUAAGCUAUUCAGUGUUUUCUGAAAGCAAAAGGCCAACCUGUGGCAUGGUUAUUACCAAAUACUGCAGUUAGGGAGGGUAAACGAAUAUUAGGAGAAUAGGUAGAUCACUUAAUGUCCCCCAGGAUAUAUUUAGAAACUUUUUUGUUGUUGUUGUUGUUUUGUUUUGUUUUUUG
rnacentral:lncRNA from 1 species